UGAAAUAUGGUUGCUUUUGUGGCUUGGGAGGCCAUGGCCAGCCCCGCGAUGCCAUUGACUGGUGCUGCCAUGGCCACGACUGUUGUUACACUCGAGCUGAGGAGGCCGGCUGCAGCCCCAAGACAGAGCGCUACUCCUGGCAGUGCGUCAAUCAGAGCGUCCUGUGCGGUUACCAUGCCAGCAAUGAUUCCUUUUGAGUUUCUGACAGAAGAUAGUGGUUUUCAUCCAAAUAAGUCAACUACUCUACCCCAUCCCUAAGCCACUUGUAUGGAAAGAAAAAGAGGAAGAAGCCAGUACUGAGACUGCGUAAGCUUCCCCCAGCAUCACCCGCUAUGAGAUGUGUGGCAGCUGAGACCCGGGAACUGCUCAAGGGCACCAGGCCCCAUCUGUCUGCACUC
rnacentral:lncRNA from 1 species